rfam:Trichobilharzia regenti genome assembly, scaffold: TRE_scaffold0062945
GUCCAGAUGAAGAGUCCCAAACAGGACGAAAUGCGAAUCCUCGCUGGAU